rnacentral:lncRNA from 1 species
CUUUAAGUACAGAUAACUAUCAGGGUAUGAAAAGGCAAGAAAACAUGACAAAAUGAAAGGAUUAUUGAUGGGCAAUAAAGGAAGCGUAGUAGGUUUACCUUGAGAUUUCACUGAGCUAAUAUACUGGCUCCCAUUUCUAUGUUUAUUGUAGGAAAAAGAGAAAAACACUAAUCCAGGGAUAGAGCUGACUAGGGAUGCCCAAGUCAAAAAGACUUUGUAGCACUGGGCUUGGCAGAGGGUCCUGAAGCUAAAUGCAGAAAACUGCGGGAAAUGUCUUCAACUGGGGCUAAAGGUCGUAAGCAAGGACAAUGAACCUGGAAUUUGGAGGAAUUCAUACUCCAGUGAAGAAUUUCCAGACCCCUCAUGAAAAUAGCAGAUUGCCUACUCACCAGAGAAUACUCAAGCUGAAACUAAGCAGCCCCUGGAGGGUAAGCAAAUGAUUAGAAGGGUAGAUUUCAGGCAAGCAAAAGGGUGAGAGCCCAGAAUCUCCAUGUGAAUGACCCUAAAAUUACAGGUAAUAUAGGAAGUGGCUUCCUUGUACCUCUAGAAAUUGAACUCUCAGAACCUGACUGACAGUCUGCUCUUAAGAACAUUACCUCAAUCUGGAGAGAAAUGUGUGUUUCCUCUCCUAUAUGGAUUUCAGACAGAAGCAGAAGGAGCAACCUAAAAAAUGAUGAGAGAGCAGCAUGACCUGAAGGCUGGGGGGCUUAGAGGUUCUUCGUCACAAGUUGCCAAAAUGAAACAGAACUGUGAAAAGAAAAUGGAGAUGCUUCUUCAGGAGGUGCCCGUGAUGUGAUUUACUUGAUGAUUAUGGCCUGCAGGGUAUUGAGAUGGGAUUAUGUAACUUAAAUAAACUGGAUAUGAGUAGAGAUCUGAAAGAUUUUUCAAAAACAUUCAGCUUUACUUUUUUUUUUCUCCUAAGGAACAAGUUGUUCACUCAUAGAGCUGAAAAGGAUAAAUGAAGUGUUCAGUUCACAGAAGCAAAAUAUGAGUAGUUCAUAUAUCUUUUGUAAAUGUUCUAUGUAUCACUGUAAACUAGACAUCUUCCACAUGCCCCUAUGUUUUUCCAUUUUGAAAUCAAUUUCUAGUUCAAACUUGUCAAUAGACAAUGAAUAUUUGCAAAGUUAUAGUUUCACUGAAUUAGGAUGUAACCUGUAGCUCACAAUGAAAAUGCCAUUAGCUUGAGUUUAAAAUUUAUGUUGCUAUUUUUUUCUUUUGUCAAUAUUUUCCUUCUGUGGGACUUAUUGCACAAGGGUCGGAUAUCACAACUGAGGGAAACUGCAGAACAAUGGUUCUUCCAAUCAUUCAGACCCAUUUAAGCCAUAGUCUUUGUUGGCUUUGCCAAAUGACUGAAUGCUUGGGUCUAUUAGCACUGUCAAAUAGUGUUGAGUACAUACUUGUGGCAUAAGCAAGUUAAUAUUUAUAGGGAGCACUUUUGCAUGUCUUUUAAGUCACAUACUAAUU